GACGAACGCUGGCGGCGUGCUUAACACAUGCAAGUCGAACGGAAAGGCCCUGCUUUUGUGGGGUGCUCGAGUGGCGAACGGGUGAGUAACACGUGAGUAACCUGCCCUUGACUUUGGGAUAACUUCAGGAAACUGGGGCUAAUACCGGAUAGGAGCUCCUGCUGCAUGGUGGGGGUUGGAAAGUUUCGGCGGUUGGGGAUGGACUCGCGGCUUAUCAGCUUGUUGGUGGGGUAGUGGCUUACCAAGGCUUUGACGGGUAGCCGGCCUGAGAGGGUGACCGGCCACACUGGGACUGAGGUACGGCCCAGACUCCUACGGGAGGCAGCAGUGGGGAAUAUUGCACAAUGGGCGGAAGCCGGAUGCAGCAGCGCCGCGUGCGGGAUGACGGCCUUCGGGUUGUAAACCGCUUUCGCCUGUGACGAAGCGUGAGUGACGGUAAUGGGUAAAGAAGGACCGGCUAACUACGUG
rnacentral:rRNA from 1 species